UACGGAGGGUGGAAGCGUUGUUCGGAAUUAUUGGGCGUAAAGGGCGCGUAGGCUGUUGUGUAAGUCAGAUGUGAAAUACUUCGGCUUAACCGAAGAACUGCAUUUGAAACUGCACAGCUAGAGUACAGGAGAGGGAAAUGGAAUUCCCGGUGUAGAGGUGAAAUUCGUAGAUAUCGGGAGGAACACCAGUGGCGAAGGCGAUUUCCUGGCCUGAUACUGACGCUGAGGCGCGAAAGCGUGGGGAGCAAACCGG
rnacentral:rRNA from 1 species